AAGGAUUAGAGCUAUGGCAGCCUAUAGAAGCUGGAACCGAGGGAAUUGUGCAGAAUAAGCACCUGCUCAUCAGCCAGGCGACCGAGAAGAAUGAAGGACUGAAAGAAGUCUCAGAUUGGCUUCCUGAGCAAAAUCUGCUUCUGUUCAGCUAUGGCCAAGGACAGAGCUCUGCACCAGCUGAACCACGGGCCUGAUCCAGUACUACAGUUGCUUUUCCACUCCCAUGGCAAUAAUUUCCCCAUGAUAUUGAGCACAGUCCUCAUGGUGUAUUGACACCACUAUAGGAAUAUGUGGAUGGAGGUUUCCUAUGUUGUACCAGCCACAGAAGCAGAACAAAUACACGAAAACCAACAGAAGCUUUAGUUUUACUACUUAGGAUGUGUAUGGGAGCUGUUGAAUCACAGCCUGAACCACUGAUUGAUCACCUGAGGCAAGCACUGAGUCAGCCAUGGGAGCACAGGUGAAGGCAAUUCACCUGUGUGACGAGAAGGGGUGGAGCCUGGCUGCACCUCUCCUAGACCCCAUUUAAGGGCUGACUGCCGCUGGUGAAGGAUAUCUUUUUGGAGCUUGCUCCCUUUGGAGUUUUUCUGUGAGCCUCUGAUAUGG
ensembl:lncRNA